GUGAAUCAUCAAAUUUUUGAACGCAAAUUGCACUCUCUUCGGAGAGUAUGCCUGUUUGAGGGUCAGCCUAAAAAAAAUCGACAUAGUCGCUGUUUUCGCGGUGACAUUCGUCGGAAAUUGGGUCAUCUUAAACCUUUGGGUUUUAAGCGGCUUAAAUUUUUUUUUAGGGUUUCAACAAACUUUUCUAAGUUUUCCUCCUUACCA
rnacentral:misc_RNA from 1 species